UACGAAGGGUGCUAGCGUUGUUCGGAAUCACUGGGCGUAAAGCGCGCGCAGGCGGUCAUUCAAGUCAGGGGUGAAAUCCCAGAGCUUAACUCUGGAAUUGCCUUUGAAACUGUAUGGCUAGAGUUCAGGAGGGGAUAGCGGAAUUCCUAAUGUAGAGGUGAAAUUCGUAGAUAUUAGGAGGAACACCGGUGGCGAAGGCGGCUAUCUGGACUGACACUGACGCUGAGGCGCGAAAGCGUGGGGAUCAAACAGG
rnacentral:rRNA from 1 species